ensembl:lncRNA
GCAUAAUCAAAUACAUUAAAAAACUGAAACAGCAGGGAGGACUGUUAGUAACUAUCAGCACCAACAUACCUAAAUAAUCACUAUAAAGUUAUAUGCUAUGGUUUUUAAGUGUCCUUUUCAAAUUUACUGUAAAUGUUAGAAACCAUUAAAUAAAGAAAUCAUCUUAGAUGUUGAUUAAAAAUUACACAUUUUCAAAUGUGCUUUAUGUUAUGCCAUUAAAGAGUGCAAUUAUUAGCCUGUUGCCUUUUUUUGAUAUAUUUCUGUUGGAGAUUAAAAAAAUACACAGUAACAUGCAAACCUCAUAAAUGUAAAAAAUGAAGUGAGAUUUCAACAUUUUAUUAAGAACCAGCUUUCACAAACCAUACAUUAAGGUACAAACACACGCACGCAUGCACGCACACACACACACACACACACACACACACACACACACACACACACACACAAACGAGUUAAAAAAAAGUUCCAGAAAUGUUGAAUCACCUAUAUGAAAACAACAGUCUCUCUAAUUUAAAAAGUCCUACAAUAAAAAACAAACAAAAACAAAUACAAAGCAGUACCAGUGAAUUUCAACACUGAUCAUAAUAGAUGUUGGUCAGAAAAGAGUCUCCUCAGAAAGACACUAUAUAAUAGCUUCUGUAAUUUAAGACUGUCUGCACAUUAUAAAGUGCACUUGAAUUACUAGUCAUCUCAUACUUUGUGAGGACUGCAAACUGGUCUCCUCUGGGAUGGGUCGGUUCUGUUGUGUGUUAUUCUGCCGUUUGUUGUGUUGCAGCUGAAUUGUCCCCAGCUAGCCUAGAAGACCCAGAUGGUCCAGUGCAGUUCUGGAUGCUAUCUCUGAGUUCGGACAGCUGGUCAUCAGCCAGGUGCGCCAGGCCUCCACACUGACCCUCCACGCGAGCAACACGACCCCCGAAUUCAGUCACCUCCUUCUGGACACCCAGUGCAGUGGAACGACAACCCUGGAGCUCUCCAGCCACUCUGCUCCUCAGAUCCUGGAGUUCCCCUUUCAAACGGGUCAACUUUCGCUCCCCAGUACCCAACAUAGAUGCCUGUCGUCCCACCAGCUGAACCACACCCUUCACCUGCUGUGCAAGCCUUUCUUCUCUUUCUUGCCAGGUGAGGUUGGUUUGGCCAGUCUCCUGAUCACAGAGCCAAGAGACUCUUGCAAGCCACAGAGAGACCUGUUAACGGAGUUCACACUAAUUUUCAGCAGGGUUACCUCACCCUGAAGACCUACCCCGUCCUGUUUCUCUGCGAACUGGACAAGAAGAUUAUGUAGAGUGGCACUGAGGUUGUUCAGUCUCUCUACUUGUAAAUCAAGUUUCCCAGUCAUUUCCUUGUGGCUGUCCUCACUUCCCCUCCUCCUCAGUUCCCAAAGGAGCUACAUAUCCUGUAAGAACAGGCUGUGGAACACAAGAUGAAGUACACAUGACCUCUAUGGAUUUGAGCUGUUUCUGUAAACGGUCCAAAUCAUCCUCCACUCUUCUUCUGAGCGAUUCUACGUCUGUCUCCAGUGUGGGCACAUCCUGACCCUCUAGCAAAGUUGGUGCUGUGACAUUACCUAGCUCCUCCACUGCAGCCAAAAGACGCCUUUCAAGAGCCUUAAGCUUCUCCUCCAAAUGCGCCUCCAGGUUGCUAGGCACUCUUUUGUUAAUGCUUGCUUCCUCUUGAUUUAAUGCAAUGCUCAUCUUAGAUUCCACAUAGCCCAGCCGACCUUCCAACAUGCCCUCAAUAUGGUCCUUGUGUCCACCAAGUUCGACACGUAGAUGUAUUUGGGACUCAUUCAAGCCACCCACUGACUGCUCCACAUGAAUUAGCCUUUCAGUUAGACCUGAUACGGCCAUGCAGCAACCCUCUUCAGGCUCCAGGUCUUGAAGCUGAGCCUGCAGUUUGUGGAGUUCUGUCGUCAAUCCUAUGGCCCUUAUGUCUAGGACUUGCUCAAUUUGCUCUGUCCAUCCAAAAGUUCCUCCUUGCACUGGAGCCGCACUCUGCCAUAUGACCCUCGCAUUGCUCCUCAGCACUCUUCACACGCUUUUCAAAGCCAUCUAAGAUGGCCACCCGAGCUUCACUCAUUUUUGGACUCCACCAUUGUCUCCAGGGCCUUUUGAAAAUCAGUUUGUGUAAGGUUCACUGAACCAUUUGACAGUCUUUGAAGGGUGUUGUUGUGACCUGCGACUACUCCUCUCAACUCAUCAAGCUCAGAUACCUUUGCCAUGAGAUCUGCUUGUAGCUCUGAAACCUUUUUCAGCCAAAUCAACCAAGUUUGAGAACUGCCCCACCAAAUCUGAACCGUUAAUAUCCAGUGCACCUCCAGGUAGAUCUCCGAAACCCACAGAAGAGUCCCUGGACUGGGAACGAGCAGGGAGAGGGCUGGGUCCUGCAGAAAUGAGAGCAGUCAACAUUCGAUUUGCGUCUUCAUAGAGGGAAGCACGCAAGCUGUCCUCCAGGCCUGUCACUGUACCACGGAGAUUGUCAAGACCAAGAAAGAGUCGCUGACAUCCUCUUCUAUCC